GCCUGGGUGGCUCAGUCGGUUGGGCGUCUGACUUCGGCUCAGGUCAUGAUCUUGCGGCUCGUGGGUUUGAGCCCCAUAUCGGGUU
rnacentral:tRNA from 1 species